AAGGUGAAAAGCACCCCGGGAGGGGAGUGAAAAAGAACCUGAAACUCUGUGCCUACAAGCACCUAGAGCGCGUCAAUGCGUGAUAGGGUACUUUUUGUAGAACGGUCCGGCGAGUUACGGAGUCUGGCGAGGUUAAGUGGUUAAGCCACGGAGCCGAAGUGAAAGCAAGCGUCAAUAGCGCGUCAAGUCAGAUUACGUAGACCCGAAACCGGGUGAUCUACCCAUGACCAGGAUGAAGCCGCUGUAAAAGGUGGUGGAGGUCCGAAGCCACAUCCGUUGAAAAGGGUGGGCAUGAGUUGUGGGUAGGGGAGAAAUUCCAAUCGAACCCGGAGAUAGCUGGU
rnacentral:rRNA from 1 species